GAAUCACUGUAUUAUACACCUGAAACUAAAAUAACACUGUAUGUUAACUAACUGAAAUUUAAAUAAUUACAGGGAUGUAAAGUAUGCCUCCCCCCAAUUAGUUAUUGAAUGGGAACUAUCAUAACUCCACAGUUUCAGAUACCACUAUGUCAAGUCAUCAGACCUAACAUCACUAUCUUGGUACACAAUAUCCCAUAUUGUGUGCCCCCAAUUAGGGUGCCUGGAGAAGAGCACACUCUCAAUCCUGUGAUAUUUCUGCCAAAAAUGCAUAACCUGAAUCUAAUCAGGAGGAAAUAUGAGACAAAUCCAAAUUGGAAGACAUUCUACAAAAUAACUGGCCUGUACUUUUUUAAAAUGUUAGGGUCAAGAAACACAAAGAAAGGCUGAAACAUGUCCCAGAAUAGAGGAAAAUAAACAGACCUGACAACGAAGUGCUGUGCACCAUCUUGGAUUUAAUCCUGGACUCAGGGGAGGAAAGAAAAUAAGGAUGCUCUGGGGGCAAUCAAUGAAAGAGAUAGUAGUAUUGUAUUAAUGCUUAAUUGCCUGAUUGUGUAACUACAUUGUUGUUAUUAAGAGAAUGCCUUUUUGGAAAAUGAAUAUUGGAACAAAUAGGGGCAUUACAUCUCCAUCUUAAAUGCGAGAGGAGAGUGGGAGAGAGAGUAAUACAGCAAAUAAGGCAAAAAUGCAAACAAAUGAAUCAAAGGCUGUAGAAGUUCCUUGUACUGUUCUUGUAAUUUUUCUGUAAAGUUGAAGUUAUAUCAAAAUAAAAAAAUCCUCCCCAAAGCAAAACAAAGCAAACAAACCUAUGGGUGUGGUGGGCAGCCAGGAGGCCUGUGCUUCCUGCUGGGGCAAGAGCCAGCCCCAAGAAUGGCCAUUCCAGGGCCUGCAGGAGGUAAGGGGUAGCCACUCUGCAGAGUAGGCUUAGCUAGCUGGAAAAAGUAUUAUGUAAAUUCUGUCAGCGACUAGACCACAAGCUGGGGUGCAGUUCCUGGCAGGGCCACCCUGUCCUUACAGCAGAGAGGCCUUACAGCUGUUUUGUGUCAGAUGAUUCAUAGAUAACAUGCAACGGAGAAGAAUCAUUGGCAAAUGUGUGAACUGUGCUCGGAUUUCAUCUUUUCAUAAAAAGAAUUGUUGUUCAAGUCUCCUACUUUUGUUACAGCCCAUCAAGAAAUAGAGAUGUGUUUGCAUUUUUGUAAGGAGGCCUGAGUUUUUAAAAUCUGGUAAAAGAGUUUAAGGUUCAAGGAUUUUAAGUUAAAAUCAAGGUUUUCCCAUUUACUAAGAGUAGUAAUUAAGGCAUAAACUUACCCAAUUCCUUUCCAAAGAGAAACAUACAUUUAAACAUAAUUCAUUUAUAUCUCUUUUAUACAGCCAUUAUUCAAUGCUUGGCCUUUUGCCAUGGCUCUAGAGCACAGUGAUUUUUCUGUCAUUUCUUUUUUUGGUGGAAGAUUCUAAGAAUCUCUGAAUUGCUAAUUAUAGGAUUUCCUCUGGUUUGUCCCCGGAAGCUUAACACCCUCCCUGCCCCCCCAGCAAAUGCCCCACAAAUCAAAGACCAAUUCUCUGAAAGUAAGACAGGCUCCGUAGGUGGAUAUCCACUGCCUUUUCUCAAAGUAACAGGUAGCCACUCUGCGCUCCCUUCAAAAUCGAUCCCUCUAAGUUCUUCCUAACUUCUCAUUUCUAUGUCCUUUGCUGUGCCUGGAAAGAGGCCAAGAGUGACAGCAGUUUGGAGUGGAACAAACCAGAAUUCACCUUCCCUCUCCCUUUGCCCACCUGUGGGCAGUGUUUCUAACUCCCAUCCUGGCUCACUCCAGACAGCUGGGGAGCAGUACCUGGCCAAAAUUAGAGGAGGCGCUGCCCCCCUCCUCCCGCCCCAGGAAGGCCUGGAAAGCACGACUCACUAGAGCUAGGCUGAGUCAUCAGGGUGUGGAGGCUGUUGGGCCGCAUUCUUGCAACAUAACAAACAGAGUACAGGCAGAGAACAUCUAGAUUGUGGACUCUGUAAAACUUUUUCAAGGCCAGUUCACAAAGGCAUUCAGUCGCUCUGUGAGCGUGAAAUAAAAGGCGAAAAGAGAGAGAGAGAAAAAAAAAAAAAGAAAUAAAAGGCGAGCAGAACCAAAGCCCCAGAUGCAGGCCAGUUAGAACUACACCACGUCAGGUUAGUCAGUGACUGGCGGGGACAGCAGAGGAAGAGGCCUCUUCCGGGGCCUGCAGGUCCUGGCAGAUGGAGGGCUCGAACCUGAGCCGAGUCUCUUGCGAGCCUCUGGUCUUCAGGUUUAACUACUCCUCGUCUUGCACACCUAGCUGGAUAGAGUCUUUACCAAAGCCAAACGGAGCCCUUCAUACCCCUGAAAACCAGGCAGAGAGGAGGAGUGUUUGAAACUGAGAUCCGUUUGCGGGCAUGAUUGCUUCAGGGCUCUGAACGGGGAGACGAAGUUCCAUCUUGGGGGGCGACAGCAGCGGAGAGGCAGCUCUGAGGCAGGUGACAUAAUACCCAUUUUACAGAUGAGGAAACUGGGGCCGUGACUUUGAUAGCGUACUAGCUACCAGACCUUAGAUACGCCAUAAACAUCUUGGUCUCCCCACCACCACCCAAGGUGCUCUGCAGAUGGGUGGAACCAUUCAAGGAGCCCCGGGUGUUAGGAGGAAGCUGAGUCUCAUGCUGCUGGAUCUGUGUGGACCCCACUGUCAUUCUGGCAGCCCCAGCACAGGUGGGAGAAGUUGCCUGUGCUCACGGCGCUCCUGGGGGCAAACAGGGCUAUGUGUGCCUGCCAGGAAGAGGCUGUAGAACGAUUUCUCUUGAACUUUUAUAUGAAUUGUGGUGAAUUCAUCGAUUGCCAGCUAAAAAUGAUUUUCUCCAUCCCCUACCACCAAGAACAGUAGCCCUAGUGACCCCUUCCUUCACGUCUAAGAAAAAGCAAUGUCAUUCAGCCAUUCAUUCACUUGAUUUAUUGUGUAUUUAUUCAGUGCCUGGUGUUUUACUAGGUGAUGGGGAUAAAAUAGUGACCAAAAAAGCCUUGGACUAGCGGAAAGGAUCACACCAAUAAACGUGAAAUUACAGUCUGGAA